rfam:Ipomoea nil DNA, scaffold: scaffold2731, cultivar: Tokyo-kokei standard.
GACGGUUUGGCCGAGUGGUCUAAGGCGCCAGAUUUAGGCUCUGGUUCGAAAGGGCGUGGGUUCAAAUCCCACAAUGUUUA